rnacentral:rRNA from 1 species
UACGGGGGGAGCAAGCGUUGUUCGGAAUUACUGGGCGUAAAGGGCGCGUAGGCGGGAUGGCAAGUCGGUCGUGAAAUCCCUCGGCUCAACUGAGGAUCGUCGAUCGAUACUGCCGUUCUUGAGGAUUGCAGAGGAGACUGGAAUUCCCGGUGUAGCGGUGAAAUGUGUAGAGAUCGGGAGGAACACCGGUGGCGAAGGCGGGUCUCUGGGCAAUUCCUGACGCUGAGGCGCGAAAGCGUGGGGAGCAAACAGG